CUGCCUUCUCUGCUGACAGCCUCUACAUUGAAAGCUUUCGUUCCUAUCACUUCUUUUACAGUGCAAAUCUCAGUUAAUUUCUAUUCUCAUUCUCCUUUGUCUUCUCUUUCAAUCUCACUCCACUCUUUUCCUUGGGUUACUAAGGACAAACAUAUCCCUUUAUUUUUGUACUUGUAGCAGUUUUUGUACUGCUCUUAAUAACCCUUAGUAUAGGCUAAGUUCUCACUUUACCUGUACACAUGAUUGCUGCUGUGAUUUGUUUGUAUGUAUUGCUCCAAAAUUCAUAUGAUGGAACCUAACCCCCUAGGAGGUGGUAUUAGGAGGUGGGGUGCUUCGCAGGUCAUUAGGCUAUGAGAAUUCUGCCUUCAUGGAUAAGAUAAAUGCCCUUUUAAAAAAUGCAUCAUAGAGCUGCCUCCCUGCUCCCAUGCCUUUUGCCAUAUGAGGACACCUAGACUGCAUUAUCUCUGAAAAAUGAGCCUUUUUCUUUUCUAUUCUCCUUCUACCAUGUGAGGACACGGCUUUACCUCCUUCUCCAGAGGAUGCAACAAUAAGGCACCAUCUUGGAAGCAGAAAGCAGCCCUCACCAGACACCAAAUCUGCCAGCACCUUGAUCUUGGAUUUCCCAGACUCCAGAACUAGACCAGUAAAAUAAAUAUUUUGGUGUCACGUGAUGUUUCCCUGAAAGUUAAUGUCACAGCUAGACCUCUUAAUUAUGACUCAGUGCACUUCCUAUGAUAUUACAGUCUCUAAAGCUAACUUGAUCUCACUUCUGAUUAAAAAAAACCGAUUACUUUAAA
rnacentral:lncRNA from 1 species